rnacentral:lncRNA from 1 species
GGCGAUCUGGCUGUGACCUGCCACCCCACUGAUCGCCAGGGUGGAUUCGCUGAUCUGGCUGGCUAGGCGCGUGUCCCUUCCCUCCUUAAAGUGCCCCAUGCGCAUCCUCCCGAGGCUGCGUGCUCGGUCGAAGAGCACGACCAUCCCCAAUAGAGGAGGACCCGUCUUCGGUCAAGGGUAUAGGACUAGCUGUGCUCCCCGGCUAGAACCUCCAAACAAGCUCUCAAGAUUCA